GGGGUUGUAGCUUAGUGGUUGAGCAAUGCUUUGAAUACUGAAGAUCCCAGGUUCAGUUCCUGGCAUGUACA